GAUGAAGAACGCAGCGAAAUGCGAUAAGUAAUGCGAAUUGCAGAAUUCCAGUGAGUCAUCGAAUCUUUGAACGCACAUUGCGCCCUUUGGUAUUCCGAAGGGCAUGCCUGUUCGAGCGUCAUUAUCACCCCUCAAGCCCUCGGCUUGGUGUUGGACGGUUUGGUGGAGGCCCCCUCGGGGGCUCCUGCCCCUCCCAAAGACAAUGACGGCGGCCUCGUUGGACCCCCGGUACACUGAGUUCUUCACGGGACACGUAUCGGACACAUGGGUUUACGGGACACGGUCUGCCUCCCCUCAGGGAGAAUCUUUCUAAGGUUGACCUCGGAUCAGGUAGGGAUACCCGCUGAACUUAAGCAUAUCAAUAAGUGGAGGA
rnacentral:misc_RNA from 1 species